CCUACGGGUGGCAGCAGUGAGGAAUAUUGGUCAAUGGCCGAGAGUCUGAACCAGCCAAGUCGCGUGAGGGAAGAAGGCCCUACGGGUUGUAAACCUCUUUUGUCGGGGAGCAAAGCGAACCACGUGUGGUUCAUUGAGAGUACCCUCAGAAAAAGCAUCGGCUAACUCCGUGCCAGCAGCCACGGUAAUACUGAGGAUGCGAGCGUUAUCCGGGUUUAUUGGGUUGAACGGGUGCGCAGGCGGCGGUGCAAGUAAGCGGCCACAUUGCGGGGCUCAACCCCGUACUGCCGUUGAAACUGCAUCCCUUGAGUGCGCGAGAAGUAUGCGGAAUGCGUGGUGUAGCGGUGAAAUGCAUAGAUAUCACGCAGAACUCCGAUUGCGAAGGCAGCAUACCGGCGCGCAACUGACGCUCAUGCACGAAAGCGUGGGUAUCGAACAGGAUUAGAUACCCCAGUAGUC
rnacentral:rRNA from 1 species